rnacentral:tRNA from 1 species
AUUCUCUUAGUACAAAUAAUACAAAUGACUUCCAAUCAUUUUAUCUUGGUUUAAAUCCAAGAGAGAAUA